AACGGUCGCUAAUACCCAAUAUGCCGAGAGGUGAAACUUAUAUGGCCAGGGGAUGAGCUCGCGUCUGAUUAGCUAGUUGGAGUGGUAACGGCACACCAAGGCGACGAUCAGUAGCUGGUCUGAGAGGAUGAUCAGCCACACUGGGACUGAGACACGGCCCAGACUCCUACGGGAGGCAGCAGUGGGGAAUUUUCCGCAAUGGGCGAAAGCCUGACGGAGCAAGACCGCGUGAGGGAGGAAGGCCUACUGGUUGUAAACCUCUUUUGAUAGGGAAGAAGAAAGUGACGGUACCUAUCGAAUCAGCAUCGGCUAACUCCGUGCCAGCAGCCGCGGUAAUACGGAGGAUGCAAGCAUUAUCCGGAAUUAUUGGGCGUAAAGCGUCCGUAGGUGGUUAUUCAAGUCAG
rnacentral:rRNA from 1 species